ensembl:lncRNA
AAGCACUCUAAAUAUUUCAUUGUGUUGGUCUAGCUAAAAAAUAUACUCUCAAUGCCGCAGUCUGGUUGGUCAAUCUGAGACCAUGUGACCUGCAGUGAUCCCCCAGCCCUCUGGUUCCAUAGAUGGGAAGGGCUUCCCACCACAAUGGCUGCCCAUCCUGUGGUUUCUGUGUUUCAGAACCAGAAGGGUGCUGAUUGACUUCAAUCAUGUUGAAGGGGUGGUUACUACCCACAGCUGGUGUUAUCCAAUACAUAAUGGGCUGCACACCUGGGCUGCAGUCCAAACACUUAAGAUGCACCCUACCCCCUUCAGCCCCCAUUAAGUGGACACUUCUGAUAACCUAUAAUGCUGCCUGACGAGUAUAUACUUGCAGGGCAAAGAAGCAUUUUUAAAAUGGCUGCCCUUACCUGGAAAUCCGCCGUUCGCCCCGCGAUUGUCUUUUAGCCACCGGUAGCUUUUGGGUGUUAUGUGCUACAGUCAAUUAUGAUUCCAUGUCUAAAAAAUAUCUUAAUGUGAAAUGUAUACACUUACUGUAUGUCAGCUAGCAAAUUAAUUAGUUACCUACCGUUAGCCUGUCUAGCUGGAACAUCUGAAGAUAGAUGUAGUAAUACAAUUUCCACACGCUAACCAAAUAGUACUUUAUGAGAUGUUUGUACUGUCAUGUGCAUUAGUACAAUUUAGAACUUAUUUACGUUUGUUUUUACUUUCACUUGUAAGUUGACCACUAAAACGAGGGCUGAGGGGCUUACGGUGCAAGCUUCCCUUGCUUGGCUAAUAAUUUGUACUGCCUGCCAAGAUGGUGAUGUUAUUCCCCCAAGGGCAUAAAGUGAGGGUUUUUGGUUUGGGCUGUGUCCCUGUACUAAUGUCCAGUUGUAUAUAGUGAAGUGCCACAAAGGACACAGGCAAAUUAGUUGGCCCGGAACAGGGCAGCGCGACUGGCAAGAGUAGUGUAUUUAUGUGGGUUGUAGUUUUAUUACUUAAUUACUAUUUUGUUUACCAUUUCUGUUAUCCUCACCCUGCCUGUAUCUGGACCCUACAGUCUGCAGCAGUAUCAUAUAUAUGUAUAGUGUCAAGACCUUGGGUCUUUUGUUCUGUUAAGGUAGUCAAUAAAGUUUUUACAAUGUGUUCUGGUAGUUUGUGUGAAUG